GUAACUUUAACACCCAAAAUACCAUUAAUUUUUAUGAACCCCUAAUUUAUAAUGAAUGACUCCAUAUUUAUAUGGAAGACACCAUGCUAGGAUUAGUAACAAGAAUUUAUAAUUCUCCAAAAUGCAAAUAUAAACCAACAUGGAUAGACCAUUGGUAGUUACCGAACCUAAAUUUAAUGCAAUAACAUCCACAAGAAAACUCUGCAGCACUCACUCGUUAACCUAACACCAGCGCAUUACAGGAAAGAUUCAAAAAAAGAGAAGGAAUUCGGCAAAUGACGACCCCGCCUGUUUACCAAAAACAUCGCCUCUUGACUUAUAAUAAGAGGUCUAGCCUGCCCAGUGAAUUUUAAACGGCCGCGGUAUCCUAACCGCGCGAAGGUAGCAUAAUCACUUGUUCUUUAAAUGGGGACUCGUAUCAACGGCAUCACGAGGGUCUUACUGUCUCCUCUUUUUGAUCAGUGAAAUUGAUCUUCCCGUGAAGAAGCGGGAAUAUUUUUAUAAGACGAGAAGACCCCAUGGAGCUUUAAACCAAAUAACAACUUAACCACUUAUCCCAUAAUAAAUUUAACCCCUGUUAUAAGGUUUUUGGUUGGGGUGACCGCGGAGUAAAGCACAUCCUCCACGACGGAAAGAAUAAAAUCUUUAUUUAAGAACCACACUUCUAGAAAUUAGUAUACUAACGUUUACUGACCCGACAAUCGAUCAACGGACCAAGUUACCCUGGGGAUAACAGCGCAAUCUACUUCGAGAGCUCAUAUCGACAAGUAGGCUUACGACCUCGAUGUUGGAUCAGGGUAUCCCGGUGGUGCAGCCGCUACCGAAGGUUCGUUUGUUCAACGAUU
rnacentral:rRNA from 1 species